CAUGUAUUGAAACAAGGCAUAAAAAUCGUGACCGUCUCGAUCAAUCCGAAAUGGGAUAUGCUGGUUACUUAUUGACUCGCCCUCGCAUCAAGAUAGCACAGAUGUACAGGCAGGAUGUCCUAGGUCUCCCACAAGAUUAUAACGAAGGG